rnacentral:misc_RNA from 1 species
UCUGCGACCCGACCUGAGUGAAGCUCUUUGUAAUGGUGGCUGAGCGAAGUCGAAGCCACCAAUUAAAAAAGCGGGAAUGGAGGGCGGAAAUUGUC